rnacentral:rRNA from 1 species
GUGGGGAAUCUUCCGCAAUGGACGAAAGUCUGACGGAGCAACGCCGCGUGAGUGAUGAAGGUCUUCGGAUUGUAAAGCUCUGUUAAUCGGGACGAAAGAGCCUAGUGUGAAUAAUGCUAGGAAGUGACGGUACCGGAAUAGAAAGCCACGGCUAACUACGUGCCAGCAGCCGCGGUAAUACGUAGGUGGCAAGCGUUGUCCGGCAUUAUUGGGCGUAAAGCGCGCGCAGGCGGAUCUGCCAGUCUGUCUUAAAAGUUCGGGGCUUAACCCCGUGAUGGGAUGGAAACUACAGAUCUAGAAUAUCGGAGAGGAAAGUGGAAUUCCUAGUGUAGCGGUGAAAGGCGUAGAUAUUAGGAAGAACACCAGUGGCGAAGGCGACUUUCUGGACGAAAACUGACGCUGAGGCGCGAAAGCCAGGGGAGCGAACGGGAUUAGAUACCCCGGUAGUCC